UACGUAGGGGGCUAGCGUUGUCCGGAUUUAUUGGGCGUAAAGAGCGUGUAGGCGGCCAGGUAGGUCUGGUGUGAAAACUCGAGGCUUAACCUCGAGAUGUCAUCGGAAACCAUCUGGCUAGAGUCCGGAAGAGGAGAGUGGAAUUCCUGGUGUAGCGGUGAAAUGCGCAGAUAUCAGGAAGAACACCAAUGGCGGAAAAGCAGCUCUCUGGGACGGUACUGACGCGAGACGCGAAAGCGUGGGGAGCAACAGG
rnacentral:rRNA from 1 species